GGCGAAAGUGCACUUCGAGGG
rnacentral:siRNA from 1 species